CAUCUUCCAAAAACAUGUAUGUAUGAAACCACAAGUACAUACAUUUUACAUGACAAAAUAAAAUCAUUAUUGUUGGUUUGGGAUGUACCAGGAGUUCACAUGUUGCUCAUAGUCAAUAUGUAGGACUGCUUGAUCUUGGGAAUAUUACUAGUAGCUAUUGAUAUUGAGCUUCCAGAUGUUGUUAUCACACUAUACAUGGGACUUCCACCAAGUUACAACAUCAUGGAUAGUAGCCAAAAGAGCUUGCACAGACCAAAACUCCAAAACAAUCUGUAGGUUACACUGGCCAUCACAUUGACCAACCUUAGCUGCCCAUCAUAUUUGAGAGACUUGGAGGAUGUUAUGUUUGUUUGUAGGAUGCAUCUAGGCUGAGAAAUAUGGCAUGUUUUAGU
rnacentral:lncRNA from 1 species